rnacentral:rRNA from 1 species
AUUGAACGCUGGCGGCAUGCCUUACACAUGCAAGUCGAACGGCAGCACGGGAGCAAAUCCUGGUGGCGAGUGGCGAACGGGUGAGUAAUAUAUCGGAACGUGCCCGGUCGUGGGGAUAACGUAGCGAAAGCUACGCUAAUACCGCAUACGAUCUAUGGAUGAAAGCGGGGGAUCGCAAGACCUCGCGCGAUUGGAGCGGCCGAUAUCAGAUUAGGUAGUUGGUGAGGUAAAGGCUCACCAAGCCGACGAUCUGUAGCUGGUCUGAGAGGACGACCAGCCACACUGGGACUGAGACACGGCCCAGACUCCUACGGGAGGCAGCAGUGGGGAAUUUUUGGACAAUGGACGCAAGUCUGAUCCAGCCAUUCCGCGUGCAGGAUGAAGGCCCUCGGGUUGUAAACUGCUUUUGUACGGUAACGAAAAGGUUUGUCUUAAUACGAUGAGCUCAUGACGGUACCGUAAGAAUAAG